GGCGGUGGCUGUGCUAGACUUCAUUCACUACUGCAGAGCCACCGUGUGCUGGGAACUAAAGGUACUCAUGGAACUGCCUUCUCUGCGCCCACCUGUGACCUCCAAGAACUCAGACAGGUCCAGACCUCACUUGCUUGCUGUGAUCUUUUUAUUUGCUUGGGGUUUUGGCUUUACUCUGGCAGGCCCAGAAAGCUUUUGCAGCCACCCUGUUUUCCCUUACCUGCCAUUGCUGAAAAGUAAAGCCCCCCAAAAUAAAGGGAUGAUCAACAU
rnacentral:lncRNA from 1 species